UACGUAGGGGGGCAACGUUGUCCGGAAUCAUUGGGCGUAAAGAGCGUGUAGGCGGCCAGAUAAGUCCGCUGUGAAAUCUCGAGGCUCAACUUCGAGCUGUCGGUGGAAACUGUCUGGCUAGAGUCCGGAAGAGGAGAAUGGAAUUCCUGGUGUAGCGGUGAAAUGCGCAGAUAUCAGGAGGAACACCGUGGCGAAGGCGCCACUCUGGGCCGAAAACUGACGCUGAGGAGCGAAAGCGUGGGUAGCAAACAGG
rnacentral:rRNA from 1 species